GGCCGCCUGGCGAAAUGGCAUCGCGUCUGACUACGAUCUCAGGGGUCAAACCUGUAGUCUUAGGUAAUCAGGAGAUUGCAGGUUCGACCCCUGCGGUGGUCA
rfam:Trametes versicolor FP-101664 SS1 unplaced genomic scaffold TRAVEscaffold_8, whole genome shotgun sequence.